AACGCCUAUAUCAAAUUGAAUACGUCGGUUCUUGUCCGAUAAUCGAAGUUAGGCAGCGUCGGGCGCGGUCAGUACUUGGAUGGGCGACCGCCUGGAAAUAUCAAGGGU